UACGGGGGGGGGCAAGCGUUGUUCGGAAUUACUGGGCGUAAAGGGCGCGUAGGUGGCCUUCUAAGUUGAACGUGAAAUCCCUGGGCUCAACCCAGGAACUGCGUCCAAGACUGGGGGACUUGAGUGCAGGAGAGAAGAGUGGAAUUCCACGUGUAGCGGUGAAAUGCGUAGAGAUGUGGAGGAACACCAGUGGCGAAGGCGACUCUUUGGCCUGUAACUGACGCUGAGGCGCGAGAGCGUGGGGAGCAAACAGG
rnacentral:rRNA from 1 species